AUCUAAUUAAUAUAUUAACACGUUGAAUAUCGCUUUUGAUAUUCAGAGUAUGUUUUGAAUAAUUUUAUUUUGCUUUCACCGGAUGGUGACUGUAUAGGCACCUUCAACCCUGUCCCGGGAUCACGUAGCACCAAAAAAAUUUAUUUUCUAUUACUCCACCGGAUGUGACCGAAUGGUGGACAUGAGCCUUCACCUUUCGAAAUUAUAUAAUACCCAGAAAAUUUCUUUACAAUGGAGAACCCUUUUGAACGAGUUCGGACAUUCGUCACAUACAAAGACAAACGAUACUCAGAACAAGGAUAAAAUAGUAUAUCAUGCUCAACAUGCAUAAAAUGCACUCAAUGGUCGAUGAUUAAGCAAGAGUAAGCAUAAAAAAUGAAGACUCAAGCAGAAAAGAUUAGAUUUGUAAGUCAUAUUACGAGAUAAAUUGUAAUACGUGAAAGUAGUUUAAUUGAAUAUUUAAUGAUGAAAAUUAGACAUAAAUUGAUAUAAAAUUAAACAAAAAAAUAACUAAAACGUUACAUAAAAUAUUGAAACAAUACAUUAUUAAUAGAAUAACAUAAGAGUACAUUAGAUCUGAAAUCCACAAAGUCUAUAUUAUACAUUAGAGAUUGAGGAUUGUGAACUGAAAAUUAGAAUUCAAAUAAUCAGAUAAAUUUGAUUUUAACUUGUUUUGUUCUGAUCAAUUAUAUAUAAUUCUAACGUGCAAUUCACAAUCUCUAAUAAAAUCUGGUACAAAUUUUAUAAAACUUUAUAGUUCAUUAUAUAAAAAUUAUAAUGUCCACCGGCAGUUAUAGAUUUUCAGAAAUGAUCUAUUGAAAUUUGUUGCCAUGCAACGUUAUAAACAGAAGCAGUCACCUUUUCACAAAGUACAAACAUUUCCCGACGGCGGCGGCGGCGUGCCUAAUCCAUUUUUUGCUCACUAUGACUGCAUUUUUUGUUUUUUUGUUUUUUUCACUUUAACGUUCACAACGCUCCCGGAAUGAUUUCAUCCUUGUUAAAUAAACAAAGAUAAAUAAUACUCGCCAGCAUUGCGAGCGUUAAAUGAAACUAUAGAAAUUUCUGACCCGUUCCUUUCAAUACAGUUCUACUGUCCUCAACGGACAAUUGAAACCGGAGUUCUUGAUAAAAAAAAAAAGAUUAAAAAAAUUCUAGUAUUUUCGACCGAUCUUUCGUUCCUAGCUUUCCAACGUGUAAUCGUCGAACAUUUUCAUUUUCAACACAAAAAAAUAAACGUACGACAUAGCUAAGAAACUUAUCUACGUACCGAAAAACCGAGCAAAAUCUAUGCUUCUGUAAAUCUGAUGAUAAAAAUAUCUCAAGUUUUGAUGCUCUUCGUGAAAUCUCUCAUCGUAGCGUUUAAAAUGUUUGUACUUGCCUAUUUCGCACUGUAUUUUUCUUAUGCAGAGGCGGCACAAAGAAAAAACGUAAGCAUGCAGGAUGUAAGCACAGUGACCGAAUCGGUCAGAGAGACCGUGUUUAUGUUUUAACGCUCGAGCAUGCUCAAAUUUCGCUUUAUAUGCUUCUUGAUCUCAGCCAUACAUCUUUCUUUGUAUAACACGAGAUGCGUCUGUCUCACGCACAUGCCUCAGUCGCGCUUAGUCGUAAUUCAUUUAGACAUUUUAUUACACCGCUUAACUUUACAAUAAAACUAUUGACUCGUUCACUUUAUCGCUUUACUUGGAUAAAUUACACGAUAGCACGACCGAGUACAAAGAGAGAUGAAAAAUACGCAUGUCGGUACUUGUCUCAACGCAUGCCGAGAUAUUUUUUCUGGAUGAAACGUAAUAAUCUCACUUACUAUGAAUAACGACGCAUUAGAUUAUGCUAGAUGCAAGAAAUGUAUAAACCAUUGAAGAAAUAGAAUUAAAACCUUUUACCUGUC